rnacentral:rRNA from 1 species
AAUACCCUAUUAUUUUAAAAGUAAUUAAGUAAAUCUAAUUAGUAAUAGUUAAGUUCUCGAAAAUUAAAGAAUUUGGCGGUAUUUUAGUCUAUUCAGAGGAAUCUGUCCUAUAAUCGAUAAUCCACGAUUUUUUAUACCUAAUUUAUUAAUUUACAUAUCGCCGUAGUUUGAAUAUUUUUUGAAAAUUAUAAUAUUCAUAAUUUAUUUUGAUAAAAAAAAUCAGGUCUAGGUGUAGUUUAUAGUUAGGAAGAGAUGGGUUACAAUAAAAGUAUUUAUUAUGGAUUAAUUAAUUAAAUUUUUUUAUGAAGGUGGAUUUGAAGGUAAUUUUAUUUA